UUUGGUUAAGUUAGAAAGGGCGCACGGUGGAUGCCUUGACACUAGGAGUCGAUGAAGGACGGGACUAACGCCGAUAUGCUUCGGGGAGCUGUAAGUAAGCUUUGAUCCGAAGAUUUCCGAAUGGGGAAACCCACUAUACGUAAUGGUAUGGUAUCCUUAUCUGAAUACAUAGGGUAAGGAAGACAGACCCAGGGAACUGAAACAUCUAAGUACCUGGAGGAAGAGAAAGCAAAUGCGAUUUCCUGAGUAGCGGCGAGCGAAACGGAACAUAGCCCAAACCAAGAGGCUUGCCUCUUGGGGUUGUAGGACAUUCUAUACGGAGUUACAAAGGAACGAGGUAGACGAAGCGACCUGGAAAGGUCCGUCGUAGAGGGUAACAACCCCGUAGUCGAAACUUCGUUCUCUCUUGAAUGUAUCCUGAGUACGGCGGAACACGUGAAAUUCCGUCGGAAUCUGGGAGGACCAUCUCCCAAGGCUAAAUACUCCCUAGUGAUCGAUAGUGAACCAGUACCGUGAGGGAAAGGUGAAAAGCACCCCGGAAGGGGAGUGAAAGAGAUCCUGAAACCGUGUGCCUACAAAUAGUCAGAGCCCGUUAACGGGUGAUGGCGUGCCUUUUGUAGAAUGAACCGGCGAGUUACGAUCCCGUGCGAGGUUAAGCUGAAGAGGCGGAGCCGCAGCGAAAGCGAGUCUGAAUAGGGCGUUUAGUACGUGGUCGUAGACCCGAAACCAGGUGAUCUACCCAUGUCCAGGGUGAAGUUCAGGUAACACUGAAUGGAGGCCCGAACCCACGCACGUUGAAAAGUGCGGGGAUGAGGUGUGGGUAGCGGAGAAAUUCCAAUCGAACCUGGAGAUAGCUGGUUCUCCCCGAAAUAGCUUUAGGGCUAGCCUUAAGUGUAAGAGUCUUGGAGGUAGAGCACUGAUUGGACUAGGGGUCCUCAUCGGAUUACCGAAUUCAGUCAAACUCCGAAUGCCAAUGACUUAUCCUUAGGAGUCAGACUGCGAGUGAUAAGAUCCGUAGUCAAAAGGGAAACAGCCCAGACCGCCAGCUAAGGUCCCAAAGUGUGUAUUAAGUGGAAAAGGAUGUGGAGUUGCUUAGACAACUAGGAUGUUGGCUUAGAAGCAGCCACCAUUUAAAGAGUGCGUAAUAGCUCACUAGUCGAGUGACUCUGCGCCGAAAAUGUACCGGGGCUAAAUACACCACCGAAGCUGCGGAUUGAUACCGAAUGGUAUCAGUGGUAGGGGAGCGUUCUAAGGACAGUGAAGUCAGACCGGAAGGACUGGUGGAGUGCUUAGAAGUGAGAAUGCCGGUAUGAGUAGCGAAAGACGGGUGAGAAUCCCGUCCACCGAAUGCCUAAGGUUUCCUGAGGAAGGCUCGUCCGCUCAGGGUUAGUCAGGACCUAAGCCGAGGCCGACAGGCGUAGGCGAUGGACAACAGGUUGAUAUUCCUGUACCACCUCUUUAUCGUUUGAGCAAUGGAGGGACGCAGAAGGAUAGAAGAAGCGUGCGAUUGGUUGUGCACGUCCAAGCAGUUAGGCUGAUAAGUAGGCAAAUCCGCUUAUCGUGAAGGCUGAGCUGUGAUGGGGAAGCUCCUUAUGGAGCGAAGUCUUUGAUUCCCCGCUGCCAAGAAAAGCUUCUAGCGAGAUAAAAGGUGCCUGUACCGCAAACCGACACAGGUAGGCGAGGAGAGAAUCCUAAGGUGUGCGAGAGAACUCUGGUUAAGGAACUCGGCAAAAUGACCCCGUAACUUCGGGAGAAGGGGUGCUUUCUUAACGGAAAGCCGCAGUGAAUAGGCCCAAGCGACUGUUUAGCAAAAACACAGCUCUCUGCGAAGCCGUAAGGCGAAGUAUAGGGGGUGACACCUGCCCGGUGCUGGAAGGUUAAGGAGAGGGGUUAGCGUAAGCGAAGCUCUGAACUGAAGCCCCAGUAAACGGCGGCCGUAACUAUAACGGUCCUAAGGUAGCGAAAUUCCUUGUCGGGUAAGUUCCGACCCGCACGAAAGGUGUAACGAUUUGGGCACUGUCUCAACCAGAGACUCGGUGAAAUUAUAGUACCUGUGAAGAUGCAGGUUACCCGCGACAGGACGGAAAGACCCCGUGGAGCUUUACUGUAGCCUGAUAUUGAAUUUUGGUACAGUUUGUACAGGAUAGGCGGGAGCCUUUGAAACCGGAGCGCUAGCUUCGGUGGAGGCGCUGGUGGGAUACCGCCCUGACUGUAUUGAAAUUCUAACCUACGGGUCUUAUCGACCCGGGAGACAGUGUCAGGUGGGCAGUUUGACUGGGGCGGUCGCCUCCUAAAGUGUAACGGAGGCGCCCAAAGGUUCCCUCAGAAUGGUUGGAAAUCAUUCGUAGAGUGCAAAGGCAUAAGGGAGCUUGACUGCGAGACCUACAAGUCGAGCAGGGACGAAAGUCGGGCUUAGUGAUCCGGUGGUUCCGCAUGGAAGGGCCAUCGCUCAACGGAUAAAAGCUACCCCGGGGAUAACAGGCUUAUCUCCCCCAAGAGUCCACAUCGACGGGGAGGUUUGGCACCUCGAUGUCGGCUCAUCGCAUCCUGGGGCUGUAGUCGGUCCCAAGGGUUGGGCUGUUCGCCCAUUAAAGCGGUACGCGAGCUGGGUUCAGAACGUCGUGAGACAGUUCGGUCCCUAUCCGUCGUGGGCGUAGGAAAUUUGAGAGGAGCUGUCCUUAGUACGAGAGGACCGGGAUGGACGCACCGCUGGUGUACCAGUUGUUCUGCCAAGGGCAUAGCUGGGUAGCUAUGUGCGGAAGGGAUAAGUGCUGAAAGCAUCUAAGCAUGAAGCCCCCCUCAAGAUGAGAUUUCCCAUAGCGUAAGCUAGUAAGAUCCCUGAAAGAUGAUCAGGUUGAUAGGUUCGAGGUGGAAGCAUGGUGACAUGUGGAGCUGACGAAUACUAAUAGAUCGAGGACUUAACCAUAUAA
rnacentral:rRNA from 2 species